AUUAAAAGAACUAGAGUGCACUUUAUUGUGGCUUGACCCCUUUUAAAUAUAUCACCCAAACUAUUUUAACACUUGGUUGCAUGAAUUUUUGAAAGGUUCAUUGCAAUUGAGUAUAAGUAACUUCUUUUUACUAAGAAAUGUUACAUUACCCCCCCCCCCCCCCUUUAUUUUUUACCCCCUUUUUUAUUAUAUAACACAAGUUUAAAUGAAUGUAAAAAACCCUUUAAUUAUAAAAU
rnacentral:misc_RNA from 1 species